rnacentral:rRNA from 1 species
UGGGGAAUUUUGGACAAUGGGCGAAAGCCUGAUCCAGCAAUGCCGCGUGUGUGAAGAAGGCCUUCGGGUUGUAAAGCACUUUUGUCCGGAAAGAAAUCCUUGGCUCUAAUACAGUCGGGGGAUGACGGUACCGGAAGAAUAAGCACCGGCUAACUACGUGCCAGCAGCCGCGGUAAUACGUAGGGUGCAAGCGUUAAUCGGAAUUACUGGGCGUAAAGCGUGCGCAGGCGGUUUGCUAAGACCGAUGUGAAAUCCCCGGGCUCAACCUGGGAACUGCAUUGGUGACUGGCAGGCUAGAGUAUGGCAGAGGGGGGUAGAAUUCCACGUGUAGCAGUGAAAUGCGUAGAGAUGUGAGGAAUACCGAUGGCGAAGGCAGCCUCCUGGGCCAAUACUGACGCUCAUGCACGAAAGCGUGGGGAGCAAACAGGAUUAGAUACCCUGGUAGUCCACGCCCUAAACGAUGUCAACUAGUUGUUGGGGAUUCAUUUCCUUAGUAACGUAGCUAACGCGUGAAGUUGA